UACAGAGGUCUCAAGCGUUGUUCGGAUUCAUUGGGCGUAAAGGGUGCGUAGGCGGCGCGGUAAGUCGGGUGUGAAAUCUCGGGGCUUAACUCCGAAACUGCAUUCGAUACUGCCGUGCUUGAGGACUGGAGAGGAGACUGGAAUUUACGGUGUAGCAGUGAAAUGCGUAGAGAUCGUAAGGAAGGCCAGUGGCGAAGGCGAGUUCCUGGACAGUUACUGACGC
rnacentral:rRNA from 1 species